rnacentral:rRNA from 1 species
UACGUAGGGUGCGAGCGUUAAUCGGAAUUACUGGGCGUAAAGCGUGCGCAGGCGGCUCACUAAGACAGAUGUGAAAUCCCCGGGCUUAACCUGGGAACUGCGUUUGUGACUGGUGGGCUUGAGUGCGGCAGAGGGGGGUGGAAUUCCACGUGUAGCAGUGAAAUGCGUAGAGAUGUGGAGGAACACCGAUGGCGAAGGCAGCCCCCUGGGUCGACACUGACGCUCAUGCACGAAAGCGUGGGGAGCAAACAGGAUUAGAAACCCUUGUAGUCC